GAUGAACGCUGGCGGCGUGCCUAAUACAUGCAAGUCGAGCGAACGGACGAGAAGCUUGCUUCUCUGAUGUUAGCGGCGGACGGGUGAGUAACACGUGGAUAACCUACCUAUAAGACUGGGAUAACUUCGGGAAACCGGAGCUAAUACCGGAUAAUAUUUUGAACCGCAUGGUUCAAAAGUGAAAGACGGUCUUGCUGUCACUUAUAGAUGGAUCCGCGCUGCAUUAGCUAGUUGGUAAGGUAACGGCUUACAAGGCAACGAUGCAUAGCCGACCUGAGAGGGUGAUCGGCCACACUGGAACUGAGACACGGUCCAGACUCCUACGGGAGGCAGCAGUAGGGAAUCUUCCGCAAUGGGCGAAAGCCUGACGGAGCAACGCCGCGUGAGUGAUGAAGGUCUUCGGAUCGUAAAACUCUGUUAUUAGGAAAGAACAUAUGUGUAAGUAACUGUGCACAUCUUGACGGUACCUAAUCAGAAAGCCACGGCUAACUACGUG
rnacentral:rRNA from 1 species